rnacentral:rRNA from 1 species
UACGUAAGUGGCGAGCGUUAUCCGGAAUUACUGGGCGUAAAGGGUGCGCAGGCGGCGUCGCAAGUCAGGCGUGAAAUCCCCGGGCUUAACCUGGGAACUGCACUUGAAACUACGAUGCUGGAGUAUGGCAGAGGGAGGUGGAAUUCCACGUGUAGCGGUGAAAUGCGUAGAGAUGUGGAGGAACACCGAUGGCGAAGGCAGCCUCCUGGGCCAAUACUGACGCUCAUGCACGAAAGCGUGGGGAUCAAACAGG